UUUAUAGAAACCUUUUGCUUUUUGUCGAUGGGCUAGAAUUUGAUCGACAAUAUUCACAAGUUUUGGUUUUCUUUUUCUGAAAGUUCCAACAGUUAUCCAUUUCAUGAUAGGAAGUUUUAUUGCCAAAAUUAAGUUGCAGAGGGAAUUCCAACUAGUAUACCAUAUCUUGGACAAAGUACUCAUUUGUGCAGCAUAUUUCGCGAGGAGUAAACAUAGAAAAUGCUGCAAAUUUGGCUCUGACAACAAUUUGGAUAUUUGAUCAUUUACUGCAUCAACUCUUGUAUCUUCCAUCACUCACAAAGAUGUUUAUGAUUUUUUCCCCAAAAAUCAAAAAGGAAAAAAUCAUGGAAAGAUUUUCUUUUUGAUUAUGGUGACAAAUUUUCAUUAACAUGUAGAAGAAUUGCACAAAGCAAAAUUCCUUCCUUAAUUUGUUUGAAUACUGGUAUAUGUUACCAGAGCCAAUUUUGCAGCACUUGCUGUCUUUACUCCUUGCUAAAGAUGCUGCAAAAUUGAGUACUUUGUCCAAGACAUAGUACACUGUUUGGAGUUCCCACUCCUACUUAAAUUUUGGUGACGAAUUCUUCUUUUGUGAACGGGAUGGCCGUAGGAUAGUUUCAGAAAAAAUACCAGAGCUUGUGAAUAUUGUCGACCAAACUCUAGCCAAGCGGCAUGAACAGAAGGUUUCCG
rnacentral:misc_RNA from 1 species